UGUGCAGUGCUGACAGCUGAGAAGAUUUCUAACAUGAUGUUACACCAUGCGAUUCGCUGCUGACACCCGCCUUUCUCACUGCAGAGCAAACCCCUUCAACCCAGAGCAGCCCCAUUCACCAUCUCUGGGUGCAUCUGCAACUUGUAUGGGAGUUUACACUGAUCGUAUCUCAAGGAGGAUUUAGAAGAGCAGGGUUUGCGAGCUGGAGAUCUGCUGGCUUCCUAAAGCUCCCAGGCGCCACCAUUCCCCUGCAUGUGACAUGUGCGUUGCCCUCAAAUUCAGAGGAAGGCUCACUCAGGACAGUUCACGGCUGUGCUGUGACAACAACCAGGAUGUGUGUGGGGCUCAGAGCUGCCCUUGGGGUGUUCGGGAGCCCUUCCGGCUAAUGGCAAACUCAUUUAAGAAGCUCCUGUGUUUGUGCCAACUCUGCCUUUAUUCUCGGUGCCGGAGCUUGGCUGCGUUUCUCACUGCAGUGCUGGAGAGAGCAGAGAGGAAGCAGUUUGUUUUCUUGACCUCAGAUUAUCAGAAAAAAGCUAGUGAGAAUAAUUUUGUUGGAAUCCUCCCUAUUAUGAGUUGUUUAAAGCAUCUACGUGGCGGCUGCCGAGAUGUCGGCAGUGCGGGGGUAGGUGGGACUUGCCCCACAUGUGAAAGAGGACAGGGCUGUUGGCUGAACUGGGAUGAGUCGAAAGAGCAGCUGUCUUCUCUCUUCUGGGCCGCCUGCUUCUUCCUGCACAGACAAUUGUGAAAUGGCAAAAUUCAUCCACGAGCAGUCGCUUUUCAGCUUUUCUUUUGUGCCGGUAAAAUCAAUUGCUUCAAAGUUCACUGAAGGUGAAGGCAACAUUUGCUUUCCAUUCAGAGCUAAGCGGGCCAUCUUCGAGAGCAAACGCUCGCAGAAGGGAGAAUAGCAAAAAUCAGCAGAAAAAGUCUCUGAAUAAUUUGAACGAGGAAAGGAAAAAGCAAUUUGCUCCCAGUUAUUCCACAGACAAAAGUAUGAAUAAAAAAAUCAUGAGCUAUUUACCCUGCCCAGACUAUUUGCAUGAGUUUUAUGCUAUUCCAGUUUUGCUUCCCCGACCCCCAAAGACCUUAUCACUGGAUCCUCAAGGCACUUAACAACAACAACAAAAAAAGGCAUGCUUUCUUUCUUCUUCUUCUUCUUCUUUUUUUUUUUUUUUUUAAUAUAUUUGAAUGCUGGAUCAGCAAUGACCAAAAGCAGACAAAACAAAAGGGGUCCUAAAUCUGAAGCACGCUGAUGCUUGCAUGUGCACUGACCCGGAUUAGAGACCUUGACUCCGGCCUGCCAACUCUACCAGCACAGAAAUUUUGUUCAAAAUGGUAUUAUAAGCUUGGAUGCUUUGCAUUCAGAUAGCGAGGCUGUGGCAAAGGCACAGCGGAUAUUUACAAUCUGCUUUAGGAAAACCUGAUACAUGUCGUUAGCUGUUCUGUUGCAAUGACAGUUUAUGUCACCCACAUCUGCUGCUGUAGGUAGCCCAGCCAGACAGCUGGCACUGCUCAAAAUGCCAAAGACCAUGCUGCUACAAUGAGGAGAGGAGAAAGAAAGAACGAUGAAGACCUCAUAAGCGUUAUCAAAAAAAUGCCAAAAAGUUGGAAGAUUUGGGGAUUACGUCGUGUAAUUACAUUACCUUAAAAAAAAGUUUACAGAAAAUUUCCUGUUUUGUGUUGCCAGCUCUUUUCAGCCAUUAGUAACACAUAACUUCUCAUUGUCUUUUCCCGAGGCACAGAUGGGCUAAUUUUCAGCUACCUGAUAAUUACACAUUGUUUGAAACUGUAUCAAAAGCUUCUGUUUCUGCAUUUCUCCAGCAGCUGUUCUACAGCUCACAAAGUCGCUUGAUCACGGUUUGUAAGGGUCCACAUCUAUCCAUCUGUCUGGAGUUCCGGGAAUGGAGCAGUGGCAAAGCCUCCACACGCGCAUUCAGACUUUGCAGGUUGCUUUUACAGAUUUGCUCCGUUUUUAAAGUGGGUGGAGUGAAGCUCCACUGAAAGCAUCUUGUCAGCUCAUCUAGGGUUAAUAUGGGAUAAUGCUACAUCAAAACAUGUCUAGCUAAAUAUGCACAGGUAUGUUGAUAUUAUAGGGAAAUUAAGGGUAAAGGAACACGGGGUGCUAGACGUCAUCAUAACAAAGGUUUAAUCUUAACUUCUCUUGGGCAAGCAGCUGUCCUUGCACAAAGCUGUGGAUGCGGCCACACUACGGGACUGCCAAGUCAGAGAAAUGCAGCCCACCGGGUGUACAGAGAGGAACGGUGAAGGCCCUUCCUCGAGAGUGAUGGUGGUGGCUGGAGAAACCGUCUCCCCCUUGAUCCUUCCUCUUCAGGAGCAGUUACUCUGCCAGCUGAACUCUGAUUGUUUCUAGAGGGUGUUUUCUCAGCUUGUUUGAGGCUGUCCCAUGGGAGAAUGCAAAGGGCCUCACUUCUGUGGUUUCUGCUUCCCCACCAUCAAGUAUGCUAGUUGCCUUAUCAAAGAAGGAAAUUAAAUUGGCUUGACAUGCCUGGUUCUUGACAAACCCAUGUUCUUUGAUUUUAUUCAUCAUUUUACAUCUUACAAGUUGCUCGUUGAAUACUUUCUUCCAACCUCUUGCAAAGAAUUGAGAUUGAGUUGAUUAUUCCUUUUUUUUUAGUCUCCUCUUUAAAGAGAGGUGCUUCUCUCAUCUCCAGGGACCUCUAUGCCUUCAUAAAUUUUGAAGAUAAUCACCAAGGGUUCAAUGUUCCUGGGUGCAUUUCAUCAAAUCCUCUCAUUUUGAAUACAUUUGACAUAUCCAGAUGGCUUUAAACUUCUUUCCUUGUGCUGGCCUUCUACACAGUUCCCUUCAAAGCCGGUUUUGUUAAGUUUCAUUCACAAUUAACCUUCUUAUAAAGUCUGAAACAAGGGACAUGGGGCAGAUUCCUGCUUGGAACACCCAGUCAGUGCUCUCUCUCUUCCCCCCGGCAGUCCUGCACCUACAUGUCUUGCUGUUCUCGUUUUACAGCUAAUUUAUUUGCAGACCUGUGCUGGUUUCCUCUGAAAGCUUGGGACCGUAGAUCUAGCUGCUCGCACGCUGUGAACCUGUAUUAUUCCUGUAUUCUCCCCCCAGCACGUGCCUGUUUCCACUUUCCAUAUGAUUUCUUUCCAGCUUCCAGACCCUGCCGCUGCUGUAAUGCCAUCUAAUUAUGCUUCUUAUCUGCUUUCACAGGGGAGCAGUUUGCUGUUGUGCACCAUCUCUAGUCUCUUCAGGGAACUGCCAGUUCUGCAUUUCCUUACAGCGUAUUGCCAUCCAAGAGAGCUUCUCCACAGCUUCCCUGAUCUCUGUCAGACGCUCGUUAUUUUGUUAUUUCUGUUCGCCUGUCUUACCCAUGUCUGUGCUGGUGGGAAGAGACACUCAGGUAGCUUUUCGUUUUCCUCACAAUCUCUUGGGAUGCAAGUGAAGGACUAGAACAAUAGGGCUGCAGAACAGAAGGGGAUGACUGGAAAGCUCCCCAGACCCCCUGACAGUGGGACACCCAGGUGGAACCAACAAGGCAUUGCUGCAGAGUGGAUAUUCGUUGGAGAGAUCCAGAAUUGGCCAAGCCUUCUCUGCAGGACAGCGCAUGGGAAGGGGGUGAUUUAUGGCAACCCCCUGACACACACCCUAUUCUCUAGCACCUACUGGGAGGGUUUCUGGUGUUUUCCAGCGAGAUGACAAACUCAGGUCUGCUCAUGCCUUGUCUCUUUGGGCGACAUUCAGCUCACGAGGACAGCAUCACCCACCUUCAGGGCCCUGUUUGUGUGUGUGUUUAGCUGGAAUCCCCGUGCAGCAGCACCACCCGUGUGCCUGACAUUUACUGUGCUGGCCUGAAUUUCUUCACAUUUCUCCCAUGGCCACUUGGAGUCAAGUGCCACUGGAAACACAGCUCCUGCUGGGAGGAGUUUCAGACGCAUCCAGAUCUGAGACAUUUUUGAGUACAAUUUUGUUUCGGGUUUUACAAAGGCUCUUCCGCUCGCUUGCUUGCCGCAAGUAAUGAAGCAGCAAGAUAAAAGGCAGGGCCACGGAAGGUUGUUAAAAAAUUACUUGCAAAUUAAUGUGAGGACAAGGUGUAUGAGUUAAUAUCAUAUAAAGACCCUUGAAAUCGGCGUACAUGCAUGUACCCUCCGAGCACUGACAUUCGCAGACAGAACUACACUGGUAAACUGAGCCCAGGGGGCUUGAUUAACAGGAAAUUUUCAGAAUGCCAAUUAGAGCAAAGUUUACCGAACAAAUUGUUUGCACUUGUACCCUAGAACCAUCAUGAAUUUUAAUUCAGCAUGGAUUUAUGUGGCUGAAACAAUAAUUAAAGAUACAUGAACACCUCACGUUCAGGAGACUCCCCCAUGGCUUUGCUGUAGCUUUUGGCGGGGAGCAGGGUAAAGAGCCCAUUUGUCAGGGUCUGUUCUUGCUGCUGCCAGCCUGCAGAACAUGGGAUGCACGACGCUUUUCCCUACAGAUAUAUAAACAGUUUCCUGAGUCCUGAGCUCACCAAUUUGUGCAGUGUUUAGUCUCUGAUUUCUUUAUUCUUUUUUUUUUCUCUCUCUCUCUCUUUUUUGCCAUUUAUGCGGUCUGACAACGAGUGAUCCAUAGGGUGUUUUCUCCAUAAAUGCUGGCUUGCUGUUUCCUGCCUUCCGCUUUUGGUGCCUGUGAGAUGUUAAAUUAGCUCCUUGGGUGCCCUGAGACUGAAGCCUUGCCCUGUGGUUUCACUGACCCUGGGCUAACCAGGCCACCUCCUGCUGCCCAGGAGGAGAUGGAGGGCUCCCUUCUUUCCUUAUCCCUGCUCCUCCUCAGCCAGUCCCAGGUUUGAAGAUGGGGGAAGAGCCUCACCUGCCACCAUAAUGCAAAGAGCAGCUUGACUCGAGGAGAAAAUGGUGCUACCACGCGGCAUCAGCGAAAAGUCACGAUUGAGCAGCACUAUGUAUAUGUAUGCCUUCAUUUAAAUUCUUCUCUCCCUCUACUAGUGCUGAUAAAUAAGUUACACAUAUUUUUUUAGAAGAAGUUAUUUUCUGUCACUGCACUUUUAAAUGUCAAGCUCCUGGAGAGGAGUCUUCCAGAUAGUUUAAGGUCAGUCAGGCUUCAAGGAAGAAAUACACAGGUAGAGAAGAAAAGCUGCUGCUGGGCUGUGGUCCAGCCUAAACUGGGGUUCUGGUCUGAAUGAUGGGCAAGCGUGGGUAUCUUGCAGAGAAGGUGCCCAGAGGCACUGCCCUCCCUGUACCUCAGCAAUCACCCUCGGAUAUGAAAUAACUGAAGACUUCUACAGAAAACCCAGUAGCUGAAAACGAUCUGGCCCGUUAGUUCAGGAGUACUUAUGAAUAAUGUAUACAUCCAAAGGUUGGUUUACAAAUGAUUAAUUAACCUUAAGAGAGGUUAUCCUCAUUGGCAACAUCUUUCACCCUAAACAGCUUAAUCAUGUCUGCACAGAAUAGCAUAUCUGAAACACAAACAAUUGUUUGAGAAGGAGUAUCGAGGAAUCACAGAGCAAGGGCUGGACGUGUGCACUGCUCGCUGGAGCAACAAGCAAACACCAGGCACGGGGAGGGCUGCGAGCAGGUCGCCAGGCUGCGCCCCGCACGCUGUAAGACAGGCGCGAGCAUCACUUGCUGGAGCCUGGCGGCUGCAUGGUGGAGCAUAGCUGGGAAAGUGCAGAAAUUGCACCUUUGCUAAAGUAAAUAGAUCAUGCAUUUAUUUUCGUACUUUGAUGUAAGAGCUGAGUUUUUUUGACAGUGAGAGAGCUGCUCCUGGUGCCUCCUGCUGCGACUAAUGGCUGCUGCGCUCAGUGGGGAUAUUGCCUGGGCAAACAGGACUUUAGUCCAAGGGCUUUUUGCAUUUGUUAUCAGCUAUUUGUUAUCCACGUCUAUUAAUAGAGUGCUCCUAAAAAGCACUUCCCCUGUCUGGAGUAAUUUCUGGCUGGUACCUGGGUGUCUCCAGUCCCUGCUAGAGCUUGCUAUGAGCUCAUCUUCAGCAGGGACCUGGGCUGGCCCCCAUUCUGGGGAGAGCUUAACCCCUCUGCCCCCAGUUCAGGCUC